rnacentral:rRNA from 1 species
UCCAGACUCCUACGGGAGGCAGCAGUGGGGAAUAUUGCACAAUGGGGGGAACCCUGAUGCAGCGACGCCGCGUGAGUGAAGAAGUAUUUCGGUAUGUAAAGCUCUAUCAGCAGGGAAGAAGAUGACGGUACCUGACUAAGAAGCCCCGGCUAACUACGUGCCAGCAGCCGCGGUAAUACGUAGGGGGCAAGCGUUAUCCGGAUUUACUGGGUGUAAAGGGAGCGUAGACGGCAGGGCAAGUCUGGAGUGAAAGCCCGGGGCCCAACCCCGGAACCGCUUUGGAAACUGCGAGGCUGGAGUGCUGGAGAGGUAAGCGGAAUUCCUGGUGUAGCGGUGAAAUGCGUAGAUAUCAGGAGGAACACCGGUGGCGAAGGCGGCUUACUGGACAGUGACUGACGUUGAGGCUCGAAAGCGUGGGGAGCGAACAGGAUUAGAUACCCUUGUA